rnacentral:rRNA from 1 species
GAGUAAUGUCUGGGAAACUGCCUGAUGGAGGGGGAUAACUACUGGAAACGGUAGCUAAUACCGCAUAACGUCGCAAGACCAAAGAGGGGGACCUUCGGGCCUCUUGCCAUCGGAUGUGCCCAGAUGGGAUUAGCUAGUAGGUGGGGUAACGGCUCACCUAGGCGACGAUCCCUAGCUGGUCUGAGAGGAUGACCAGCCACACUGGAACUGAGACACGGUCCAGACUCCUACGGGAGGCAGCAGUGGGGAAUAUUGCACAAUGGGCGCAAGCCUGAUGCAGCCAUGCCGCGUGUAUGAAGAAGGCCUUCGGGUUGUAAAGUACUUUCAGCGGGGAGGAAGGCGAUAAGGUUAAUAACCUUGUCGAUUGACGUUACCCGCAGAAGAAGCACCGGCUAACUCCGUGCCAGCAGCCGCGGUAAUACGGAGGGUGCAAGCGUUAAUCGGAAUUACUGGGCGUAAAGCGCACGCAGGCGGUCUGUCAAGUCGGAUGUGAAAUCCCCGGGCUCAACCUGGGAACUGCAUUCAAAACUGGCAUGCUAGAGUCUUGUAUAGGG